rnacentral:rRNA from 1 species
UACAGAGGAGCCAAGCGUUGUCCGGAUUGACUGGGCGUAAAGCGCACGCAGGCGGAUGCGGGGGUGGGGGGUGAAAUCUGGCCGCUUAACGGCCAGGCGCCAUCCCAUACGGCGCGACUGGAGUGAUGCAGAGGUCGAUGGAAUUGCCGGUGUAGUGGUGAAAUGCGUAGAGAUCGGCAGGAACACCCAGGGGGAAACCAGUCGACUGGGCAUCUACUGACGCUGAGGUGCGAGAGCGUGGGGAGCGAACCGG